rnacentral:rRNA from 1 species
AAAGCGUGCGCAGGCGGUUAUGUAAUACAGAUGUGAAAUCCCCGGGCUCAACCUGGGAACUGCAUUAGUGACUGCAUAGCUGGAGUACGGCAGAGGGGGAUGGAAUUCCGCGUGUAGCAGUGAAAUGCGUAGAUAUGCGGAGGAACACCGAUGGCGAAGGCAAUCCCCUGGGCCUGUACUGACGCUCAUGCACGAAAGCGUGGGGAGCAAACAGGAUUAGAUACCCUAGU